AGAGUUUGAUCCUGGCUCAGGAUGAACGCUGGCGGCGUGCUUAACACAUGCAAGUCGAACGGGAAAUAUUUCAUUGAGACUUCGGUGGAUUUGAUCUAUUUCUAGUGGCGGACGGGUGAGUAACGCGUGGGUAACCUGCCUUAUACAGGGGGAUAACGGUCAGAAAUGGCUGCUAAUACCACAUAAGCGCACAGAGCUGCAUGGCUCAGUGUGAAAAACUCCGGUGGUAUAAGAUGGACCCGCGUUGGAUUAGCUAGUUGGUGGGGUAACGGCCCACCGAGGCGACGAUCCAUAGCCGGCCUGAGAGGGUGAACGGCCACAUUGGGACUGAGACACGGCCCAGACUCCUACGGGAGGCAGCAGUGGGGAAUAUUGCACAAUGGGGGAAACCCUGAUGCAGCGACGCCGCGUGAAGGAAGAAGUAUCUCGGUAUGUAAACUUCUAUCAGCAGGGAAGAUAGUGACGGUACCUGACUAAGAAGCCCCGGCUAACUACGUGCCAGCAGCCGCGGUAAUACGUAGGGGGCAAGCGUUAUCCGGAUUUACUGGGUGUAAAGGGAGCGUAGACGGUGUGGCAAGUCUGGUGUGAAAGGCAUGGGCUCAACCUGUGGACUGCAUUGGAAACUGUCAUACUUGAGUGCCGGAGGGGUAAGCGGAAUUCCUAGUGUAGCGGUGAAAUGCUUAAAUAUCACGAAGAACUCCGAUUGCGAAGGCAGCUCACUGGAGCGCAACUGACGCUGAAGCUCGAAAGUGCGGGUAUCGAACAGGAUUAGAUACCCUGGUAGUCCGCACGGUAAACGAUGGAUGCCCGCUGUUGGUCUGAACAGGUCAGCGGCCAAGCGAAAGCAUUAAGCAUCCCACCUGGGGAGUACGCCGGCAACGGUGAAACUCAAAGGAAUUGACGGGGGCCCGCACAAGCGGAGGAACAUGUGGUUUAAUUCGAUGAUACGCGAGGAACCUUACCCGGGCUUGAAUUGCAGAGGAAGGAUUUGGAGACAAUGACGCCCUUCGGGGUCUCUGUGAAGGUGCUGCAUGGUUGUCGUCAGCUCGUGCCGUGAGGUGUCGGCUUAAGUGCCAUAACGAGCGCAACCCCUCUCCUUAGUUGCCAUCAGGUUAAGCUGGGCACUCUGGGGACACUGCCACCGUAAGGUGUGAGGAAGGUGGGGAUGACGUCAAAUCAGCACGGCCCUUACGUCCGGGGCCACACACGUGUUACAAUGGCAGGUACAGAGAGACGGUUGUACGUAAGUACGAUCAAAUCCUUAAAGCCUGUCUCAGUUCGGACUGGGGUCUGCAACCCGACCCCACGAAGCUGGAUUCGCUAGUAAUCGCGCAUCAGCCAUGGCGCGGUGAAUACGUUCCCGGGCCUUGUACACACCGCCCGUCAAGCCAUGAAAGCCGGGGGCGCCUAAAGUCCGUGACCGUAAGGAGCGGCCUAGGGCGAAACUGGUAAUUGGGGCUAAGUCGUAACAAGGUA
rnacentral:rRNA from 1 species